UUCAGUUUCAGGAAAAUACAGACGCUUCCCCUUUCACCUUAGCUUCUUCCUUUAAUCCUUCUCUCAGCCGUUUCUCUUUCAAGUUCGUUUAAAACCUUCUCUCUCAAACACUGAUUUUCCGUGUCUGCCUCUGAUUUCCAGCACCUCCUCAGCCUCCUUCCUUCGCCGCCGUCAAGUUCCACGAUCCUGUCCCGGACCCCGUCGCGCUCAAUCCAGAGUACCGGCUGCGUGUACCCGUUUCAGAUCGGGUUAUCGGGUCGAUAAUGUCAACCCGUUGAGAUUAAGAGGCAGUUUCAGCGGUUGCAAGUUGGGGAGAGUGAUUAUCGGAGGAGAAGUGUAGAUGGGUUUUCCGGAGGCCUCGCCCUUCCACCGCCGUCUGGAACACCCUCAUCAUCGGCUUCAUCUACGACCAGAAGCCCCUCGACGCCCUCCUCCUCUACGCCCACGUGAGAGCCGCACAUGAUCCUGCGCCGUUUAGGUAUUACGUAUUUGAUCUCUGGCGGUGUUGUGCUAUUAAUUUAGAAAGAAAUUAUCUGAUUUUGUUUGUGAUAUGCUAGGAUUCAAAACUGAUAUCGUUUCCCUUUUUUCCUGAUCUGAUAUCGUUCCCUUCUUUUUUUUCCCUGAUUGUGAUGGAGAAGAUGGCUAAGGUUUGGCACCGGAAAUAGUUCCUUCAAUGGUGGCUGCUGGCUGGGUGCCAGGGUUUUCAUAAUCGAUUUGGGUUUUCCUGCAAUUUUUCAGAUUUGGUGCGCCUUUGCUAGGAUUAUGGGGUUCCAGUUUGUGCAUUGGUGUCAUUCUUCUACGUUGUUCUUGAUUAUGUUCGUAGGCUACUGUUAUCUGGCUGAUAGUAGAAUUAGGACUAUCUAGGUUCAACAUUACAUUCAAACAGUGACAACUACAAUCAACUACUAUGGCCCUAAUAUGAAUUCAGAAUGUUACUUUCUUCCAUGAACUACUCAGAUCUUAAACUUUCAAUACCGCUUAAAGAAGGCUGAAGAACAAGAAUGCCAUGUGGUUUGGUUUGCUUUAAGAAUGAUGGGUUGACUUAUCAAUUAUUUGGCUGAUACUAUUUCGCAUAAAAGUUCUGCCCAAUCUUCACUGAGAAAUGUUGAGGUUAGGUUCUGGGGCUUGCAGGGAUGAUAGUAGGGAUUGAAAAUUAUAAAGAACUACACAUCUACAUGCUUAAGAGAAAGGCAUGCAAUGAAGAUAGAUUGCAUUGAGUUGGGUCAUUGGAUGCUAUAAGAAGAUAUUCAAGAUAAUGAAACUAAGUUGCUGCAACUUGGAUCAGUUUCCACUGUGUAGAAUAUUUUUUUUGUAGGAUGCAAUGUACAAGAACAAUUAUCUAAAAGGAAAAUUACUUAGUUUGUACUUGGUACUUGAGUGAAGAGACAUUAAGCAGUUGAAAUAUAUAGUUAUACAUGUGUACUUUGAAUGUGUAGACUGAGUAUUAAUUAAAGCAUUGUAGUGA